rnacentral:rRNA from 1 species
GAUGAACGCUGGCGGCGUGCCUAAUACAUGCAAGUCGAGCGAACGGACGAGAAGCUUGCUUCUCUGAUGUUAGCGGCGUACGGGUGAGUAACACGUGGAUAACCUACCUAUAAGACUGGGAUAACUUCGGGAAACCGGAGCUAAUACCGGAUAAUAUUUUGAACCGCAUGGUUCAAAAGUGAAAGACGGUCUUGCUGUCACUUAUAGAUGGAUCCGCGCUGCAUUAGCUAGUUGGUAAGGUAACGGCUUACCAAGGCAACGAUGCAUAGCCGACCUGAGAGGGUGAUCGGCCACACUGGAACUGAGACACGGUCCAGACUCCUACGGGAGGCAGCAGUAGGGAAUCUUCCGCAAAGGGCGAAAGCCUGACGGAGCAACGCCGCGUGAGUGAUGAAGGUCUUCGGAUCGUAAAACUCUGUUAUUAGGGAAGAACAUAUGUGUAAGUAACUGUGCACAUCUUGACGGUACCUAAUCAGAAAGCCACGGCUAACUACGUG